UUUAUUAAAUGUUGCUAUGAAGGUAUCGCUGUUUUUCUUUGUGAAUGCAAUGUGCUCCAACUGAAACUUGAAUUAGAACUUAGAAGUAAAUCCUUCCAUCUGAAAGGAUUUAGUUGCAUUAAUAACCUCAUAACAUUCUAAUUUUUAUUCAGUCUUGGCUGGAAAUAGAAUCUCUGUAUUGAUUCAGGUAAAAACUGAACUUCACAGCAUGUUGGAGCAAAACAACCAGAUGAAAACUGUGAUGGUGUUGGAUUGUCAGACCGUAAUGUUGCAGCUCAAAGCAGCUUUUCUAUCUCAGUUCAUUCUGACAUUCAGCUAUGAAUCAACACAGCAGAUGGUGAUCCAUGCUGUGGAAGUCUCACAUCUCCUGAUUUAAUGGAGCUGCUUUGCACUUUUUACACUGUUUAUUCACCAACACUUUAUUUAAUAAAAGUCUCAUCUAGUUUUUAUGAGGAAUGUGAUGUUUUAAUUUCUCUGUGAAUAACUGCAGUCUAAUGGAACAGCUGGAGUUGUAACAUCUGUCCUGAUAUUGAUCAUGAAGUAUUGAUCAGAAUACUUAUGGUCAGCAGUCAUCCCUGAAGUUUUACAUUAAAACCUUUACUUGUGUUGUGAACUUUGAUAAGAAGCAGAAACGUUAGCGUUGCCAUGGAUACAUGAGUGUUAAAUUCUGUCCAUGUUUCCAUUUUGGGAAAUGCAGUCCAGUUCCAGAAUGUGGAGGAAUUUAGUCUCACAAUCACAGACAAAUAUUAUCUGAAAGUGGGGUUAUUGUUGUUUAUCAGCACAAUACAAAAAGAUUAAUGUUAGAAAUAUUCCAGUUAAGACUCUAGAAUAUCAUGAUUUAUGUAAAUUUACCUCAAUAAUAUGAAUGUUCAGGUUAAGAUUGUGCAGUGAUAUUUAUUAUGCAAGUUUAGCUGAUUAAAGUUUAUGACUCUGCACUAAAAUAUUAUUUAAAUUGACAUCAUUAUUAUAAUAUUUAGGGUCAGACCCUACAGUAUUGAGAUUAAGAAAUCAAAUAUUCUAUAAAAUGUAAAUACACUGAACUCAUUUGGAUAUAUUUAAGUGAGACUCUACAAUAUUAUUUGACACAAAUCUAUCUAAAUCAAAAUUUUAAUAAUUUUCACGCCAAACAUUUACUGGACUGAUUUAAAUAUUAAAAUCACUCCUUUCUAAUCCUCUGCUGUACGUUCAAACUUGAGGCCUUAAAUGGAAACACACAAGUAUUUUAUUGAAGGAACUUCUGCAGAGUCCUGGUUCCAGAACAUGAUGAUAGAAUUAUAGACAAACUUUAACAAAAGCUGCCUGAGAGUUUGCAGGUUUUUAUGUUGGAUUUCUUCAGUAAUUUAAUGAGCGUUAUCAGCAAUAAUCAAGUGUUCAUUUGAUGAACUUCAUUUCCUAAAACAUCCAGAAUUGGAGCUCAUAUCUUUGGCAGCUGUAAAGUUUCUGCUCCUUCAAAGAUCACAACACAAUGAAUGAAUUCCUAAAACACUCUCAAUGCUGGAGAGUGUUUGUGAUGCUGAAGCAGUGAUCAGUUUUUCUGUUUCUUCUCUGGAGAUGCACAAUGAGGGACGUCUGCAGAGACUGAGAAAGAGUCUCACCACAUCCUGACAUGAGGAAAAAGACUUUAUUGAAGACUACAAUGAGAAAAACUAUCAGACAGCAGACGGCUGCAUUCAAGUCUGUAGCUGCUGAAUUCAUGGAUGAAUCAUCUGGCACUAGAGAAGAAGACCAUCAAACAUCCACGUCAGCUGAUGGAGGUCCAAGAGUCUCACCGAACAACCAACCUACAGAGUGAAGACCUCAAAUCUGAUUGGACGGCCUCCUAUUCAGCCACAUGUGUGAACAAAUGCCUCUAAGCUGAUUUGUUUUCUAAAAUAAAUCUAGUUUGAGUCCUAA